CAGCAGCCGCGGGAAAACGGAGGGUGCAAGCGUUAUCCGGAUUUAUUGGGUUUAAAGGGUCCGUAGGCGGAUCUGUAAGUCAGUGGUGAAAUCUCACAGCUUAACUGUGAAACUGCCAUUGAUACUGCAGGUCUUGAGUAAAUUUGAAGUGGCUGGAAUAAGUAGUGUAGCGGUGAAAUGCAUAGAUAUUACUUAGAACACCAAUUGCGAAGGCAGGUCACUAAGAUUUAACUGACGCUGAUGGACGAAAGCGUGGGGAGCGAACAGGAUUAGAUACCCCCGUAGUCCCUGUCUCUUAUAC
rnacentral:rRNA from 1 species